CGGGGGAGGAAAGGAGGCGAAGCGAGCGCUCCUGGGUGGGGGGCGCACCCGGCAGGUAGCUGCGGUCUCUGCCCCCUGCAGACGCCUCUCCUUCUCCCCUGGGACGGAGGCUUUCUUUCCAAGGUACUCCUCUCUACCUCUCUACUUAUAAACCAACUGCAGGAAAGUGCAUGUCAGGUUGUCAGCCAUAAGCAGGGGACUCCUUCACUGUUAUUUGGUUAAAACAUCUAUCCUCAGUUACAGAUGCUUCUCCUGCCAGUUCGCUGAUAAAAGUUUUUAGCCAUGCAUCGGAAUCACCUCAGGACUCCACUCCCAAUCAAUUAUGUAUCUGGGGGAGGACCAAGGCGUUGGUAUUUUUCAGAAGCUCCACUGGGGAUUCUGACAGCACAGCUAGGAUUAAGAAACUGAUCAAUGGGAACGGCAUGCCUGUUAGCAGAGGAGCUUCCCUGGGAAAUGUCAUACACAGAACAUCAAUCUUCCUUCCCCACUCCGGAGAUCCCUCAUUCUUUGGCACCAGGAACAGUUGCAAUUAGUAAACCCUGGUUCCCUGCUGUCUCACAAAUUGCAAGAGUCCAACGUGUGGAUAUAAACUUUUGUUCAUGGGAGGAUCUUUCCCUUAGUGGAAAAGCAACUGGGAAAAGCAGGACACACUGUACAGUGACUGCAGUUUCAUCCAAUGCCACCACCCAUGCAGGCAUAAAUAAUGAACAUGGAUGGGGGAGUCUGGAGCUGCUGAAUUGUAAGGCUCAUAAAUGUUUAAACUUUUUCUGUUAAUAAUAUUUCUGCUUUCUGUGUAUGUGUAUGUAGAAGUUCUGUCUUUAUAAUUCUCACCACUUCGCAUCAUACUUUCCAGGAGGAAGGAAGAACACAGAAAUUAAAAUUCUCACAAAGGCUACCGUUAAACUAGAGGAAGACCACAUCACUGUGUGUCCACAAAGAUACAGAGCCAGGCCGGGUUCAGCCAUGCUGGUCAUCUGCUCUAUAUACUACAAUUAUUUAGAGAUGGUGGGUAGAGAACAACUACAGGAAAAAAAAAACUGCCAGAAACUAGAAUGUCAUUUUUACACACUCAUUUGUAGAAUUCCUCCCGGUUUUUACUCAAGGGAACUUUCAAAUGAUUUUCAUUUGGGGAAAGAACUGUUUUGAGUUUACCCUAUAAGAUGGCCACUAAAACUCACCCACUUUCAUGAUUACCCAGCCGUCCUCAGAUCAUCUUCAUGAUUUUCCUGGAAAUAACGGAAGAGGCCCUGGGGAUAAUUUUAUUGGUAGAGUGGGAAUGUAUUAAAAUUCUCUACUUCCUUGUUACAUGGUCUUUCCUUCACCCUACAAGAUGUGUGCUUGUAACUCAAAUUUCCAUUUGAGUAACCAGCAAUUAUUAUUUAAAACUAACCUGAAAAUAAAAAUUGUAUUCAACUCAUUCAUAGGGAUCAUCUACCUAUUUAUUAUUGCCACAUAGGUGAUGUGACUCUAGAAACAUCUUGGUAUUCAAAUAGCCAGUUAAAAUAUAAAAUGUAAUGAUUUUCUAAAGCUACUCGUUUUCCUUCUCUCAUCUCUAUCUACUAAUUGGAAAGUCUAUUCUCCAAACACAGAAAAGAUGAUUGACAGAAUUCUAAAAAUACACAAAUUUCCCUAUUAAAGAGGGUGAAUGGAUGUUAGUACUGUAUCAGACACAUAAUAUUAAGGAGAUACCUGCUGUUUAACAUUAACAUUCUGUGUAGUUUUUGUUUUGCAUCAAACAGACAUCAAAAAGUGAAUAAAAACGUGUCGUGAAAUUACCAAAUAAUAAAUUAAUCUCCUGGAUACAAGGAAGUUAUUUUAGCAAGUUCUUUUUAAUAAAAGCAAAGAAUGGGGAUGUAACAAUUAGAGAAAUGUGGAGGCAAACAUAAGAAAGUUGGGAGAGGGAGGUCAAAUCUCACUUCCAGUUAUCAGUAAAGUGCACAUUCUUUUUUGUAUUCUGUGAGGCUGGAGGUGCUGCUGAUAGAAUGUCCUCACAUAUUCUGUCAAUGUCAGGAUGCAAACAUCACUAAAUAAACCCUCGUGUCAAAAUGUCACAUAGUGAUUAUUUAUGCUUCUUGACAACACCAAUGAAUGACAAGGCUGCCUCUACAGCUGUGAAAGGUUGCAUACCAAUUGUUAGAGGUAACAUAGAUGAAGGACAAAGUAGUUAUCAGAAUUCAUUUAAACUGUGCUAUUAAAUUAGAUAUAUUUGCAGUAGCCAUCACAGUAAAUACUACUGUGAUUCUCCUGAAAGAACAUUGCCUAAACAAUUUAAUGCAGAACAUUUCCUAAUUACCAUGCAUUUCUGAGUCUUUGCUACCAUGUAGAUAUUCAUGCUGAAAGAGAAGUGUCAUUUCUUUUUCUUCUUUAAUUUGUCAUUGUUUCCCAGUGUUCUUGCUUCUGGAAUUGAAUUUGGAGUCUACAUUUUUUAAGGGUACUGCAAUUAUUAACGAAGUCUGGGAUGAUAAUGUCUCAGCAAAGUGUACACAACGAGACUAAGAUAGUUAACGCCUUAGUUGUUCCAAUUCCAUAUUGCUUCCUGUUCCAAAUCUACUAAUGAGUAAUAAGAGAUGUAGCACUAAUCAAUGGGACAAAAGCAUGCAUUAUGAAAAUACUCUAUCAACUCCAUCGGUAAAAUUUGUAAGGUAAUUAUAAAUUUGUUAUCAGACAUUUUAAAUUGUUAAAGUAUAAUUAAAAGGUAUUAUUUCAUUGGGGAUAACCUUCCACUCUGGUAAUCAUACUAAAACACUUGAUGCUCAAAACACAAUUCAAAGUUAUCUUAAUCAGCGUGAAUUUCAAGAUCCUCUUAAAAAUGACCUCUGAUACUACCCUGAGAUUAUUGGAGUGUAAAUCCUUGCUUUGCACUUUCUGGCUGUGUGAACUUAGGCAAAUUACUAACUUUGCUAUUCUUGUAUUUUCUCACUGUUAAAAUGAAAUAGAAAUAGCAUAGCACCUACCUCUGUGAGGUAGUUUGAUAAAAGGAUUAAAUGAGAAAAUCUACAUAAAGCAUGGUUCCUGAGAUCUGUCACACAAUAUUUUCAAGAUAUGUGAAAACAAAUUUUAAAAUUAUCAUUACUUGAAAAUAAAAUCCACAUGGAGAACUUCUAAUUUGCUAAUAAGCCUACAGAUGAU